UACGUAGGGGGCGAGCGUUGUCCGGAUUUAUUGGGCGUAAAGAGCGUGUAGGCGGCCAGGUAGGUCUGCUGUGAAAACUCGAGGCUCAACCUCGAGACGUCGAUGGAAACCAUCUGGCUAGAGUCCGGAAGAGGAGAGUGGAAUUCCUGGUGUAGCGGUGAAAUGCGCAGAUAUCAGGAAGAACACCUAUGGCGAAGGCAGCUCUCUGGGACGGUACUGACGCUGAGACGCGAAAGCGUGGGGAGCGAACAGG
rnacentral:rRNA from 1 species